rnacentral:rRNA from 1 species
AAUUCAGAAAACUACAGUAAGAGAAAAGAGAUUCAGAGUUGUCUCCUGGGUUGUAGAUGUUGUGGGUGAAGGAGAGCAGCAGGGACGAAGACGAUCAGCGAAGCCAAGUUGGAGAGGAUCAGCAAGGGGUCGUUGGAGAGGAUCCACAGCUCCGUUUCUUGAGGUUGAAGACGAGGAAGUUCAGCAGGUUGGCGUCAUCGUUGGAGAGAAGUGGUGGAUCGGGCAUCUCCACCAAUCUCCCGGCGACCUCUUCUCCCUUUCUCUCCUUCGAUCUGGUUCUUCUGCUCGUUCCCCUCAAUCCCCUGCUUCGAUCUGGUGGUGGUUGAGUGGUGGAAGGUAGCGAGGAGUUGGAGAGCAGCAGGUCGGCGAUCAGGGGCGGCAGCAAGGUGGAACGGCCUCCGAUCUCCUCUUCUUCUUCCUUCCCUCGACCCCCCUUUUCUUGCCCGAUUCGAUCUGGUGGUAGGUGAGUCGUGGAAGGCAGCGAGGAGUUGGGGAGAAAAAGGCAGUCGGUCUGAUCCUUUUCUUUCCUUCGACGCCCUCAACUCCUCUUCUUUCUUGUGGCCUUGCGCGUGGGAUUAGAUAUGCCUCUCGC